rnacentral:lncRNA from 1 species
AAAGUCAUAUAUAGACAAACGUCUUUCUAUCGACUGGUUUGCCACUUAUACCAAUGAAAAAAUAGUCAUAGUUAAUUUUUAGAACAAAUAUAUGGAAAUGCGAAUACCCAUACCAUGUUAGGACUCCAACCCAAAUGAACAUGUUCCAAUACAAGAAUCUGAUCAAAGUUUUCUGAUUAAUUUCAAAUGAAACAUAGUAGAAAAUAGAUACUAUAAAAUUUUAUAAAAAGAGAUUUUGUAACCUGUUAGGCCAGCAUGAUGUCUGUACCUUCCUUUAGGAAAAAAUACCCCAAAACUAUGCUAAAUGUGUGAAUAGCACAUUUCGAAAAGGACUCCAUAUAACUUACAUCGAAAUUGAGUCCACUUCCAUCUACCCGACCUGGUUCACCCUUUCGUUCGCCUCACGACUCGCAUGGUACAUUGGCACUACAUCUCAUCUUCCUCUCGCCCCCACCUUCCCACAACCCACCCACCCUCUGGCGCCAUCCUCAACGCUGUCAGCUUCCAUCGCGCUGUCCAUUCCCUACU